AUUCCUCCAACAAAUAAGACAGAGAACUGCCUGUUUUUUUGGUUCCCUAUCGAAGGACGGAGCUUGGAACAACAUUUAUAACGGUUUAAUGACACAAAGAGUAAAAGGUGCUGCAGCCCAUCCAUCUGCUGAAUGUUGCCAAGUAACAGCCAUCCAUGGAACAUGGAAAAAUGAAUUCACCCGGCCAGGCCCAAAUUGUCGACCCACAGAACAUGAGAUCUGAAACGAAGCCAAGCAAAGCAACAUCACCUUCUGGAAAGUGCAGAAACUGCAAUCAAGAUCAACAAAGAAAAGCACCCUUCCCAUAGAUUCAUCUCUUUGGCGUUUAAGUGUUUGGGCGAGUCUACAAAACUCAGAUUCCUCAUUUAACUAGAUGUUCCAGGUCACAGAGAUAUUCUACUAAGGCAAUUUUCAAAAGACCAUAAAACCACCACAUCAAUUUAUGCUUGCAGCUGCUUCUACUUCAACAAAUACAAGUGCUUCAGAUAUAAUAAGAAGACUAAUGAGGAUUGCAGAUGAUUACAACAAUAUUAUAAUACUUCCCAAGGCAUAAUGACAUUUUUUUCCCAAAUUAAGGAAAAAAGGUUUUUUCUUGUUAGAGUCUUUAUUGCCUGAAUAUGACCUCAGUUAAAACCAGGAACCCAACUUUAGAACAAAUCUAUGAAUAAGUAUUUUUUUAGUAAGACUUCUUAGCUUAUAAUGGAAGUUUUAUUAACUUUAGCAAGGACUAUGUAUGUGCUACAGGAUUACAUCCUUAAAAUAAAAUGUGCCAAAACGGGUCAUUUGA
rnacentral:lncRNA from 1 species